GACGAACGCUGGCGGCGUGCUUAACACAUGCAAGUCGAACGGAAAGGCCCUGCUUUUGUGGGGUGCUCGAGUGGCGAACGGGUGAGUAACACGUGAGUAACCUGCCCUUGACUUUGGGAUAACUUCAGGAAACUGGGGCUAAUACCGGAUAGGAGCUCCUGCUGCAUGGUGGGGGUUGGAAAGUUUCGGCGGUUGGGGAUGGACUCGCGGCUUAUCAGCUUGUUGGUGGGGUAGUGGCUUACCAAGGCUUUGACGGGUAGCCGGCCUGAGAGGGUGACCGGCCACAUUGGGACUGAGAUACGGCCCAGACUCCUACGGGAGGCAGCAGUGGGGAAUAUUGCACAAUGGGCGGAAGCCUGAUGCAGCAACGCCGCGUGCGGGAUGACGGCCUUCGGGUUGUAAACCGCUUUCGCCUGUGACGAAGCGUGAGUGACGGUAAUGGGUAAAGAAGCACCGGCUAACUACGUGCCAGCAGCCGCGGUGAUACGUAGGGUGCGAGCGUUGUCCGGAUUUAUUGGGCGUAAAGGGCUCGUAGGUGGUUGAUCGCGUCGGAAGUGUAAUCUUGGGGCUUAACCCUGAGCGUGCUUUCGAUACGGGUUGACUUGAGGAAGGUAGGGGAGAAUGGAAUUCCUGGUGGAGCGGUGGAAUGCGCAGAUAUCAGGAGGAACACCAGUGGCGAAGGCGGUUCUCUGGGCCUUUCCUGACGCUGAGGAGCGAAAGCGUGGGGAGCGAACAGGCUUAGAUACUCUGGUAGUCCACGCUGUAAACGGUGGGUACUAGGUGUGGGGUCCAUUCCACGGGUUCCGUGCCGUAGCUAACGCUUUAAGUACCCCGCCUGGGGAGUACGGCCGCAAGGCUAAAACUCAAAGGAAUUGACGGGGCCCCGCACAAGCGGCGGAGCAUGCGGAUUAAUUCGAUGCAACGCGUAGAACCUUACCUGGGUUUGACAAGGAUCGGGAGUGCUCAGAGAUGGGUGUGCCUCUUUUGGGGUCGGUUCACAGGUGGUGCAUGGCUGUCGUCAGCUCGUGUCGUGAGAUGUUGGGUUAAGUCCCGCAACGAGCGCAACCCUUGUUCACUGUUGCCAGCACGUUAUGGUGGGGACUCAGUGGAGACCGCCGGGGUCAACUCGGAGGAAGGUGGGGAUGACGUCAAGUCAUCAUGCCCCUUAUGUCCAGGGCUUCACGCAUGCUACAAUGGCUGGUACAGAGAGUGGCGAGCCUGUGAGGGUGAGCGAAUCUCGGAAAGCCGGUCUCAGUUCGGAUUGGGGUCUGCAACUCGACCUCAUGAAGUCGGAGUCGCUAGUAAUCGCAGAUCAGCAACGCUGCGGUGAAUACGUUCCCGGG
rnacentral:rRNA from 1 species